rnacentral:misc_RNA from 1 species
AAGUCGUAACAAGGUUUCCGUAGGUGAACCUGCGGAAGGAUCAUUCAUAAAUGAGUGUUUUAUGGCACUCUUUAAAAAUCCAUAUCCACCUUGUGUGCAAUGUUUGUUGGGAAAGCUUCUUGCUUUCCCUUCAUAAUAUCAACCUAUAUCUUUAACAACAUUCGUCUGAUAACAUAUUAUGAAUAUACUUAAUUCAAAAUAUAACUUUCAACAACGGAUCUCUUGGCUCUC